rnacentral:rRNA from 1 species
UGGUGGGUUGCCUUGUCAGGUUGAUUCCGGUAACGAACGAGACCUCAGCCUGCUAAAUAGUUGGCGUUCCUUUCUGGAUCGUUUCGACUUCUUAGAGGGACUAUUGUCGUUUAGGCAAUGGAAGUGUGAGGCAAUAACA